CCCAGCACUUUGGGAGGCUGAGGCAGGAAGAUCACCUGAGGUUAGGAGUUGGAGACCAGCCUGGCCAAUCUCUAGAAUUCGGGAGGUGGAGGUUGCAGUGAGCCAAAAUCAUUUCACUGUACUCCAGCCUGCACAACAGAGUGAGGCUCUGUCUCAAAAACAAACAAACAAACAAACAAACAGAAAGAAAGAAAGUUUCAAGUUUUCUCCUUACACAAUAUGGCCACAUUACAUUGACUCUUGGAGAAUCCAGGCUGU
rnacentral:lncRNA from 1 species